rnacentral:rRNA from 1 species
UACGAAGGGGGCUAGCGUUGCUCGAAAUGACUGGGCGUAAAGGGCGCGUAGGCGGCGGUCACAGUCAGAUGUGAAAUUCCUGGGCUUAACCUGGGGGCUGCAUUUGAUACGUGGUUGCUUGAGUGGGGAAGAGGGUCGUGGAAUUCCCAGUGUAGAGGUGAAAUUCGUAGAUAUUGGGAAGAACACCGGUGGCGAAGGCGGCGACCUGGUCCUUGACUGACGCUGAGGCGCGAAAGCGUGGGGAGCGAACAGG